rnacentral:misc_RNA from 1 species
AAAUUCUCAGAACGGUUUCCCAAAGAAAAGAUUUUUUUCUGGUUUCAGCUGAAAAAUGGCAGAUGAUAAAAGAACUAAAUCUCCAGAAAAACCAAAAGUAGCCAAAAUGGACUUUUUCUCAAGUGGAGAGGAAGAAGAGCCAGAACCAGAUACAGGGGAGACCAAAGAACUGUUGAUAGAAGACAGAGCAGCUGUGGCAAUUGAUUUGAACCAAAGUAGAAUUGCUAAAAUUAGCAAUUUGGAGGGACUUACACAAUGUGAGAGUCUUUGUUUACGACAAAACCUUAUAAAGAAAAUUGAAGGAUUGUGUUCAGUUCCAACAUUGACCGACCUUGACCUUUAUGACAACCAGAUCACAAAGAUUGAAAACCUUGAGGCAUUGGUCAAUCUAGAGGUGUUAGAUUUAUCCUUCAACAGAAUUCCAAAAGUAGAAGGUCUGCAGACUUUAACAAAACUCAAAAAGCUUUUCCUGAUUCACAACAAGAUCCAUAAGAUGGAAAAUGUGGGCCAUCUAGUUCACCUGGAGAUGUUAGAAUUUGGGUCCAACAAAAUUAGAGCAAUAGAAGGUAUAUCCACGCUGACCAAUAUAACGCACCUAUACAUAGGGAAGAACAAAAUCACAAGAAUUCAGGGACUCAACACAUUAGUAAACCUACGAUGUCUCAGUAUUCAGGUGUGUGAUGUCACUGGUAUCUAAAUGAAAGGGGUGAAAGAAGUAACAAUUACAUUUAAUAUGUGACAGUGUUACUAGUAACUGAUAGUGUUACAUUGGUAGUGUUACAGUAACCGUAGAGAUUCAUUUUAAAAGUUUGACUUGACAUUGACAGAGCAACAGAUUAAGGAAAAUUGAGGGGCUUGAGGAGCUUGUGAAUCUAGAGGAACUGUAUGCCAGUCACAAUGGGAUAGAGAAGGUUGAGGGCCUAGAAAAAAAUGUGAAACUUACAACCCUUGAUUUAGCUUCCAAUUUCAUUCCAAAGAUUGAAAAUGUAGGCCACUUGGCUGAAUUGGAAGAAUUUUGGUUUAACGACAAUAAAGUGUCAAGUUGGGAUGAUUUAAAGGAACUAGAAUCCUUGAAAAAGUUAGCGACAGUUUACAUGGAGCGAAAUCCUUUGUACUACGACUCGGAGGGUAAACCGGACCCGAACUAUCGACGGAAGAUCAAGUUGGCUCUACCUCAAAUCCAGCAGAUAGACGCAACUCUUUGUAAAUAGUCCAAAAAUUGUUCACAAAAGAGUCAGUAUUUAUACAUCAUCAAAAAAUAAUUUAUUCUAACAGUUUGUUGUGGGUUGAAAUAACUGGUAAUGUGAUUAUUUUUAUCUCAGUUUUCAAAUUCGAUUUUUCUUGUUAUUUAUUAAUCGUUUGUAAGAUGUAUUGGACAUAACAAUUUUCACUUUCAUAGUAGGUUACAUUCUAUUCAAAAUUCUUGUUACCUUGUUUCACAUUAAAUGUUACAAUUAUAUGUAAUGUUAAAUUAUUGAUAUUCAUUUUGAUAAAAUAUACUAUACCUGUUAAACAUGAAUCAUUUCCAAAGAACCUCACAAACCAUUGUCACAAGCCAUGGGAUUUGUGUUCACAAAACCUGUAGGUUGUGACAUUGCUUACAAACUAGAAUGUUUGAAAGUCUUCACUAAAAAUUCCUAAGAUAUUACAAAUACUUUUUCUUCGGAAAUUUUUAAUCUGCAUAAUUUUUUUGUAGUUUUUCUGUGAUGAUAGGCGGAAAUUUGGAUCCUGGAUCAUAGGUGACAUCUGGAUCCUGGAUCUAUUGGUAGUGAAUCGUGCCAUAUCACAAAGACUACUCUAUGGACAAUAAUGCAUAAUUUUUUAAGAUGCCGGUUUAUAUUUAUUUAAUCAAAUUUUUACCUAUGAAGUUAGUUUCUACUUGACUAUGUUGUUAUAGUUAAUAAAUUUCACAAUUAAUA